rnacentral:tRNA from 1 species
GGAGAGGUGGCUCAGCAGUUAAGAGCACUGGCUGCUCUUCCAGAGGACCUGGGUUCAAUUUCCAGCACCAUCU